rnacentral:rRNA from 1 species
AUACGGAGGGUGCAAGGGUUAUCCGGAAUCAUUGGGUUUAAAGGGUCCGUAGGCGGGCGAUUAAGUCAGAGGUGAAAUCCCACAGCUCAACUGUGGAACUGCCUUUGAUACUGGUUGUCUUGAGUUACAGUGAAGUAGAUAGAAUGUGUAGUGUAGCGGUGAAAUGCAUAGAUAUUACACAGAAUACCGAUUGCGAAGGCAGUCUACUAACUGUAUACUGACGCUAAUGGACGAAAGCGUGGGGAGCGAACAGGAUUAGAAACCCUAGUAGUCC